AGUUUAAGCAUAUCAAUAACUGCGGAAGGAUCAUUGUCGAAACCUGCAGUAGCAGAACGACCCGUGAACAUGUCAUCGAACUCAUAGGGUCGCGGGGGCCUUCGAUCCUCGUCGAUCCCGUAGGCCGGGGGGAGGGAUGCCGAUCGUGGGCUUUGGCCCUCAUCGCUCUCCCUCGCUCUGGCUUUCUAACCAACCCCGGCGCGACACGCGCCAAGGAAUUUUAAAUGCAAAGGGAUAGCUCCGGCGAGCCUCGAUGAUGAUGUGCUCGCAGGAUGCUCUGUCCUCUUUUGAUAACCAAAAUGACUCUCGGCAACGGAUAUCUCGGCUCUCGCAUCGAUGAAGAACGCAGCGAAAUGCGAUACUUGGUGUGAAUUGCAGGAUCCCGUGAACCAUCGAGUCUUUGAACGCAAGUUGCGCCCGAAGCCUUUUGGCCGAGGGCACGUCUGCCUGGGUGUCAUGCAACCGUCGCCCCAAACCCUUCGCCCACGUUGUGGGCUGAGAGGGGCGGAUGCUGGCCUCCCGUGCGCUAUUCGCUCGCGGUUGGCCUAAAUUCCCGGUCCUCGGCGGCGAUUCGUCGCGGCAAUCGGUGGUUAUAAGACCCUCUGGUGUCGUCGUGCUCGUUCGUCUGCCCAUAUGGAAUUCCGAGACCCUAAUGCAUCCUCGUUCGAGGCAUGCUCGCUCUGCGACCCCAGGUCAGGCGGG
rnacentral:rRNA from 1 species